AGAAAGACCCGGAAGGAACCUUGGCUUUCGUAGGCGAGGUUUGCUCUAGGACUGGCCUCUUUAGGGUCAAGCAGAAAUUGUUUUCCACCCACGUCUGGAGCGAGGGUGAGAAGGUCGGAUUCGCUGGCUGGAAGGCUUUCUUUGCUUAUGGACAGCCGCUCCAGAAAGUGUCAUUUGGUAGCAUGUAAAUGAUUGUGGCAUUUUCCCUGAGCAGUGGUUUUUUAUGCCAUUUUCUAAGUCAGAAUGUAUCUGGCAUUUAAGUUGUCCUGGUCCUCAUAAUAGUUUCCUACUUCCUUGUCACACCGGAGAGAACCUCAAGUUCUUUGUGGGAGUUAUUUCAACCCAGCAGACCACGAAGCCAAGCAAAGCUGGAGCAUUUUCUUUCCAAUUCCAGGGGAGCCUCUGAGGUUUGUGAUCCUGAAUGUGGAGGCCGAUGAACAUAUUUGGAAGCAGAAAUCCAGCUUUCAAAGGAAGAAACCCCCUACGAGGGAGAUAUUUUGCCAGCAUUUCAUACACAGUUUUGCUAUCAAGAGACACCUGGGCCCCUGAGGCUCUGGGCUGAUUCCAGGCUCCAGGAGCUCUGCCACCAGUGACUGAAGCCAGAAGAGGUGGACCCUGGAGAUGCUAAGGCUGAGCAGUUCCUGACCAUCCUGCCCCAGGAGCUCCAAGCCUCGGUGCAGGAGCAUCCUGAGAGCAGGGAAGAGUUGCCAAGUGUGCUGGAGGAUUUAGAGGAAAAGCUGGAUGAGCCAGGAGAACAGCUGGGAGAGUGAAUGUGAGCCAUCUCAGGCAAGAGAGUUAAAUCUCUGGUUUGGUAGGAGGCAUCUACCCAGAGAUUGGACAGUGGCAUAUUUCAGUUUUCUCUAAGGUCCCAGGAAAUGCCCUGGAAGGAGGCAGAACCCAUGGAAACAGCACAGAGGUGACCACAUUUCAAGUUCCUGUUCUCUGCAAUCCAGUUAAAAAGUGAAUGUCCACAGUCCAACUGUUCCUUACAAGAGAAGGAUAAGGAGCAGGCUUCAAUCCAGUAUGAAGGGAGAGGAUGGGAGGAAAAUACAGUUUUCCUCUAUCUCAUCUAGGAAGCAAAAGUAAUAUUUAGAAUUGUGAGUUAGUAAGGGUGUAGGAACUCUGGGUUUCUGACUCUUGCUUUAGAUAUUUCACAAUAGCAUAUACGUCUAGGCAGUUUUAUUUUUUCCUUCUCAAUCAGUAUAUCUUUUAUUUCCUUUUCUUGUCUUUUUGUAUUAGAUAGGAUGGUGUGAAAUAAGAAUGAUAAAAGGAGGCAUCCUUGCCUUGUUCGUGAUCUUAGUGGGACAGCAUGUACUUUCUCAUCAUUAAAUAUGAUAGAAACCAUGGGGUUUUAAAAAAAUAGAUGCCUGUUAUCAAAUUGAGGUAAUUACCUCCUA